CGCGUAGGUGGUUGUGUAAGUCAGAUGUGAAAUCCUUCGGCUCAACUGAAGAACUGCAUCUGAUACUGCACGACUCGAGUACAGGAGAGGGAAACGGAAUUCCAGGUGUAGAGGUGAAAUUCGUAGAUAUCUGGAGGAACACCGGUGGCGAAGGCGGUUUCCUGGCCUGAUACUGACACUGAGGCGCGAAAGCGUGGGGAGCAAACAGGAUUAGAUACCCUGGUAGUCCACGCCGUAAAACGGUGAGUACUGGGUGUGGGAGGUGUAAUGCCUUCUGUGCCGAAGCUAACGCGUUAAGUACUCCGCCUGGGGAGUACGGCCGCAAGGUUGAA
rnacentral:rRNA from 1 species